GACUGCUCUGCUUACAGCUCUCCCUGCUCAUCCCCACAGCAGAAAUGAGAUGACGUGAAGAACCUUGUGUUGGUACUUCACUCCAAGGUAGUGUUGGAGAUUCAAAGGUGUGGAUUUCAACUCCUCUGACUCUUAUCCCAAUAAGAAAAGGGAACAGAAAUAAGGAAGUAUUGAGAACGUUAUAUCUGACUUUCCUGACUUUUAACGCAGCCCUUCCACUGGCUCUGGCUCGGUGGAGCCGGAGAAAGCCCUGACAGUUGUGGCUGUGAGGUUGUGUUGGACUUGGCUGGUCUCCACAGGUAAAAGUCGUGGA
rnacentral:lncRNA from 1 species